AAUCAACGCUGGCGGCGUGCCUAACACAUGCAAGUCGAACGCGAAAGUCCCGCAAGGGAUUAGUAGAGUGGCAAACGGGUGAGUAACACGUGGGUGACCUGCCUUCGAGCGGGGGAUAACGUCCCGAAAGGGACGCUAAUACCGCAUAACAUCCUGCCUUUUAAGAGGUGGAGAUCAAAGCCGGGGAUUCGCAAGAACCUGGCACUUGAAGAGGGGCCCGCGCCUGAUUAGCUAGUUGGGGGGUAAUGGCCUACCAAGGCAACGAUCAGUAUCCGGCCUGAGAGGGCGGACGGACACACUGGGACUGAGACACGGCCCAGACUCCUACGGGAGGCAGCAGUGGGGAAUUGUUCGCAAUGGGCGCAAGCCUGACGACGCAACGCCGCGUGGAGGAUGACGGCCU
rnacentral:rRNA from 1 species